CAGCCGCCGCAGUAAUACGGAGGAUCCAAGCGUUAUCCGGAUUUAUUGGGUUUAAAGGGUGCGUAGGCGGCUUAUUAAGUCAGGGGUGAAAGACGGUGGCUCAACCAUCGCAGUGCCUUUGAUACUGAUGAGCUUGAAUAUACUUGAGGUAGGCGGAAUGUGACAAGUAGCGGUGAAAUGCAUAGAUAUGUCACAGAACACCGAUUGCGAAGGCAGCUUACCAAGGUAUGAUUGACGCUGAGGCACGAAAGCGUGGGGAUCAAACAGGAUUAGAUACCCUGGUAGUCCACGCCCUAAACGAUGAAUACUCGAUGUUGGCGAUAUACAGUCAGCGUCCAAGCGAAAGCGUUAAGUAUUCCACCUGGGGAGUACGGCCGCAAGGUUGAAACUUAAAGGAAUUGGCGGG
rnacentral:rRNA from 1 species